GCACAUCUGUUGAAUCUGAUGCUAAAGCUUCCUCAGAGUCAAAAGAUCAUGUUAGAUUGCCACCGCCACCUCCGCCACCUCCAAGGCAACAGCCUUCAGUUCCUGGAGCUGCCAUGGUCCCGACUUUGCAUAAUGAUGUAUUACCUCCUGGACUUCCUCGGUUCCCUCCACCCCCACCCCCGACCGACAUGCGGCCACCACCUGGAAUUGCCGGCCAUCCUGCUCCACCUGGAGUCAUGCUCUCGCUUAUGCCAAGACCACCUUUCGGACCUCCUCCUGGUCCUCCACCAAUGAUGAGACCACCACUUCCGCCUGGUCCUCCUCCUUAUCUACCAGAUGGUGCCAGACCAUUUGCCACUCAGAAGCCAUCAUAUGUUAAAUCAGCUGCUUCAACCGUUGUUAAGAGGCCUCUAGCUCAGCAUACACCAGAACUUACAGCUAUGGUU
rnacentral:lncRNA from 1 species